rnacentral:rRNA from 1 species
GAUGAACGCUAGCUACAGGCUUAACACAUGCAAGUCGAGGGGCAGCAUGGUCUUAGCUUGCUAAGGCCGAUGGCGACCGGCGCACGGGUGAGUAACACGUAUCCAACCUGCCGUCUACUCUUGGACAGCCUUCUGAAAGGAAGAUUAAUACAAGAUGGCAUCAUGAGUCCACAUGUUCACAUGAUUAAAGGUAUUCCGGUAGACGAUGGGGAUGCGUUCCAUUAGAUAGUAGGCGGGGUAACGGCCCACCUAGUCUUCGAUGGAUAGGGGUUCUGAGAGGAAGGUCCCCCACAUUGGAACUGAGACACGGUCCAAACUCCUACGGGAGGCAGCAGUGAGGAAUAUUGGUCAAUGGGCGAGAGCCUGAACCAGCCAGGUAGCGUGAAGGAUGACUGCCCUAUGGGUUGUAAACUUCUUUUAUAAAGGAAUAAAGUCGGGUAUGGAUACCCGUUUGCAUGUACUUUAUGAAUAAGGAUCGGCUAACUCCGUGCCAGCAGCCGCGGUAAUACGGAGGAUCCGAGCGUUAUCCGGAUUUAUUGGGUUUAAAGGGAGCGUAGAUGGAUGUUUAAGUCAGUUGUGAAAGUUUGCGGCUCAACCGUAAAAUUGCAGUUGAUACUGGAUAUCUUGAGUGCAGUUGAGGCAGGCGGAAUUCGUGGUGUAGCGGUGAAAUGCUUAGAUAUCACGAAGAACUCCGAUUGCGAAGGCAGCCUGCUAAGCUGCAACUGACAUUGAGGCUCGAAAGUGUGGGUAUCAAACAGGAUUAGAUACCCUGGUAGUCCACACGGUAAACGAUGAAUACUCGCUGUUUGCGAUAUACAGCAAGCGGCCAAGCGAAAGCGUUAAGUAUUCCACCUGGGGAGUACGCCGGCAACGGUGAAACUCAAAGGAAUUGACGGGGGCCCGCACAAGCGGAGGAACAUGUGGUUUAAUUCGAUGAUACGCGAGGAACCUUACCCGGGCUUAAAUUGCAGAUGAAUUACGGUGAAAGCCGUAAGCCGCAAGGCAUCUGUGAAGGUGCUGCAUGGUUGUCGUCAGCUCGUGCCGUGAGGUGUCGGCUUAAGUGCCAUAACGAGCGCAACCCUUGUUGUCAGUUACUAACAGGUUCCGCUGAGGACUCUGACAAGACUGCCAUCGUAAGAUGUGAGGAAGGUGGGGAUGACGUCAAAUCAGCACGGCCCUUACGUCCGGGGCUACACACGUGUUACAAUGGGGGGUACAGAGGGCCGCUACCACGCGAGUGGAUGCCAAUCCCAAAAACCUCUCUCAGUUCGGACUGGAGUCUGCAACCCGACUCCACGAAGCUGGAUUCGCUAGUAAUCGCGCAUCAGCCACGGCGCGGUGAAUACGUUCCCGGGCCU